UACGUAGGCAGCGAGCGUUGUUCGGAAUUACUGGGCGUAAAGAGCGUGUAGGCGGCCAUUCAGGUCAGCUGUGAAAACUCGAGGCUCAACCUCGAGACGUCGGUUGAAACCGUUUGGCUAGAGUCCGGAAGAGGAGAGUGGAAUUCCCGGUGUAGCGGUGAAAUGCGCAGAUAUCGGGAAGAACACCCGUGGCGAAGGCGGCUCUCUGGGACGGUACUGACGCUGAGACGCGAAAGCGUGGGGAGCGAACAGG
rnacentral:rRNA from 1 species